AACGUCUUUAGACGGAAGAGGAAGAACGUCUUUAGACUGAAGAGGAAGGAACGUGUGUUUGAAACUAAAAUCGCUUGUAACAACCAGCAUCAAACGUAACAUUGCUUGUCAAAAUGGAUAUCAUUUCUCGUUAUGGUUUGUAGUUAUGCUGGCUUUGCUUCUGCUGUCUUUCUACAACAUCCGAAGGCCCUAGAUCUCUGCCAGUCCUCUCUAUUGAAGGAACUAAUGGUAGUGGGCUGGUCCUGAGGUGUGAGUCCGAAGGCUGGUACCCUGAACCUGAGCUGGAGUGGUUUGACAACAAUGGAGCCAUCCUCCCUGCUACUGGACCUACAGAGACCGAGACUGACACUGAGGGUUUCUACACUGUGAGACGAAAUGUCACCAUACAGCAGACUGACAACAACUGGUUCACCUGUAGAGUUCAACAGCAGAACAUCACCAGAACGAAGCACAUUCGCAUUCCUGAUGACAUCUUUCCCAAGCCGUGCCAGUCCUACUGGACAGUUGGGCUUUGUCUGGCAGUGGGAGCUGUAGUGGGAGCUGCAGUAGCCACGCCAAUGGGGUAUGUGGUUGGAAAUCGACGUACGAAACGUCAAUGUUUGACAGGUGAAACCGUAGAUCCUGAAAAUCUAUCAGUGCCGUUGAAGGGGAACUCCUCAGGAGAGCUCAAUUGAAUGAGAUGAGGCUCGAGGCAGGAGAGACACUGAUGCCAGCAGCCCUCCUGUUUCCGUUCUACUUCGCUCCUUUUCCCUGUCGGACUUCAGAUUCGAACCGGUGACCCGUCGAAGCACAGAUCUGGGGAAGGGUACCAUGAAAAACAAGAUUCUCUGGUCUGAUGAAACCAAGAUUGAACUGUCACAGAUUAUGUCGUGGUGUUGGAGAGAGGAGGACCAAAAUGCAGCAGGUUUGUGGAUACUCAUGCUUUUAAUGGUAAAACAAAACGGCAUCCACAGGAAAAACAAAAUAAUAGACACGAACAGUUUUUUGCAGGCUCAGAAACGCAGUGCAAAAACAACUACCCACAAAACCAAGUGAUAAACAUACUCCUACAUAUGACUCCCAAUCAGGAACAACGAUCCCCAGCUGUUCCUGAUCAGGAGUCACAAGACCAACACAGAACAUUCACACACACAAGACUGCCACGUCCUGACCCCAAAACUACUACAACAGCUCCAUCUGCUGGUCAGGACGUGACAUGAACUCUUUGGCCUGAAUGCCAAGCGUCACGUCUGGAGGAAACCAGGCACCAUCCCUACGGUGAAGCAUGGUGGUGGCAACAUCAUGCUGUGGGGAUGAUUUCAGCGACAGGGAGACUAGUCAGGAUAGAGGGAAAGAUGAACAGAUCAAAGUACAGAGGUCUUUGAUUAAAAACCUGCUCCAGAGCGCUCAGGUCCUCCAGAACAAUCAUGUCGAAGUAAUUUGUAAUGUAAAUAACAACUGUAGUAUAGUAAUACUACAGUUAUUUACAUUACAAAUUACUUAUUGCUCUUUGCACCCCAGUAUCUCUACUUGCACAUCAUCUGCACAUCUAUCACUCCAGUGUUAAUGCUAAAUUGUAAUUAUUUCACCUCUAUGGCCUAUUUAUUGCCUUACCUC